AUAGCUCAGUUGGUAGAGCACGACCUUGCCAAGGUCGGGGUCGCGAGUUCGAAUCUCGUUUCCCGCUCCA
rnacentral:tRNA from 1 species